rnacentral:tRNA from 4 species
UCUAUAAUGACAGAAUAAUGUAAUGGAUUUAAACCCCAAUAAUAAAGAUAUUUUUAUCUUUUUAUAGAA